CAAUAGCGUAUAUUAAAGUUGUUGCAGUUAAAAAGCUCGUAGUUGAAUUUUUGCUUGCCGCCGAUGUCGGAACUUCCGUACGUUCGGCGGCGUGCAUCCUUGGGUGGAACCUGUGUGGCAUUAGGUUGUCGUGCAGGGGAUGCUCAUCGUUUACUGUGAAAAAAUUAGAGUGUUCAAAGCAGGCUUACGCCGUUGAAUAUAUUAGCAUGGAAUAAUAAGAUAGGACCUUGGUACUAUUUUAUUGGUUUGCGCACCGAGGUAAUGAUUAACAGGGACAGUUGGGGGUAUUCGUAUUCCAUUGUCAGAGGUGAAAUUCUUGGAUUUCUGGAAGACGAACUACUGCGAAAGCAUUUACCAAGGAUGUUUUCAUUAA
rnacentral:rRNA from 1 species